ACUGCAGAUCAGGCUUUAUUGAGUGCCUAUUGUGUGCCAGACGGGGCACAAAGCAAUGAGCAAACAGUCACUGCCCGGGAGGGGCUCAUGCUUGAUCUGGCUUUGUUUCCAGCACCUAGGUCUCUGUCUCUGUCCAACCUGUCCCCCUUCCAGGCCCUGCCUGUCCUUCCUCACCCAUGCAUCCACCACCAGGGGGUGGCUCCGUCUCCGGAGCAAGGGAGUGAGCGGCAUCCGCCUCAGGAGCAUCGGGGAGGAGCGUGACCUCCCUGCCCACGCCCCGUGAGCUGCAGCGCUGAGCUGGUCCCUGGGAGCCAGCGUCUCAGGCCCGCAGCUGUUACUCCCAAGAGGUGUGAAGCCACCGCACGUCUGCACCCCGCUGUCUCCGGGGCCUGAGGAGGAGGGGCAGCCUGCAUGUGCAGGAGCUGUGUCUCCCCGCACCCCGCAUCCCAGCCCACAGCCUGGAGUUCUAGAACCUCCCAGCCCCGGGGACCUCCCCAGCCGCUCCCAAAGCAGACGCACUGUGCUGCUUUCUCCUCGGGAAGCCGCUGGCGGGCAGCACAAGCUGCCUAGGUUCCCGCGCCUCCGGAACUGGACCGCACGCCGGCCUUGACCAGCCUGGUCCUGAAAAGGCUUCGCUACCUCUAGGGGGCGUCCUCCGGGACCGCAGUCCUCCUCCUGGACCGCAGUCCUUCUUGGGCGGUGAGCUUGUGCCACGCCGGCCGGCAGCCACAGGCAGCUCCACACUAAAGCUACAGGCAGCGCGUGCCGAGAACUGGCUUCUUAAUUCACAUUUCAACACUGGCAGCGGCUCGGCUUCCCCAGCUCCAGAGGGAGAAGGGGGCAGAGGACUGAACAGGCGAGGGGAGAGCAGGGUGCAGUGGCCAGGCCUGCCGGGCUGUGUGCCCACCCCACACUGCGGCCCACAGGGGAGGCCCCUCGGCGCUAGCGGCUCUGGGCAGCCUGGCACAAUGCCAACUGGUGCUAGAUGAAUAGUUCUUGGGUACGUCAGAGGGAUUUUUUAAAAUGGGCAGCAGAAGCCAGGAAAAGAAAUCUUGAUGAAAGGGCUGUUUCUGAGCUCAGGCCGAGUGGUUUCCAGCCGGAAAGCCCCGUGUGCCCGUUGGGGCUGCCCCACUGGCUGUGGAGUCAGGCUGCAGUGCUGCCCCUCCCCUGCCGGCCACAGAGGGCCGGAAGCUGCUGCCCAGGCUGCACGGCCGACCUGCGUCCUCCCUUCGCAGUGUCCCACCCCCUGGGUCCCUGCGGCCUCGCUCUGCCCCUUCCCCUGCCUGGCAGGUGGGGAGUGGCCUGGAUCGCUGCGGCUUCUGGGGGCGCCGGGCUGGGCUGACAUCGGUCCCACACAGUGCCGGCCCCUUGGGAGAAGGAGGCCGAACCGUGCAUCUGGGGCUCCCCCGCUGCACAGGAGCCAACACGGGGGUGGGGGCCACUCGCAGUGACCAUGGGCGUAUUGCACCCCAGCCCCCACACAUGCACUCUGUGGUGUGAGCACUGGAAGCAGAGGCCCACACCGGACCCUUCCUGUCCCCACCAGGUGGCCCCGUCUCCCUAGCUGGCCUGGGGCUCGGUGCCCUCAGGCACGGGCUCCGAGAUCACCCACUGGCGGAGGUAGCUCCGGGGGGGCCCUGUGUCACACUCCACCGGGCUGCCGCAGUCGGAGCCCGCAAAACCGCUGUCGAAUGUGUCCAUGUCCAGCCCAGCGGGGGGCGAGCCCGCCUCGCUCCCAGAGACGCUGCCUGCUGACGGCCCGGCCCAGGGUGGCUCCGAGGCCCAGCCCUCCUCCCCCCGUAGGGGACAGCUUCGGCCUGUCCAGCCGGCUGCCCAGAGCCCCGCCCCAGCCCGGGGCCCCCUGGCUGAGACGCAGCCGCAGGAGAGGACUGUGGCCCCGAAUCGAGGGAGCAGGUCCCCGGGCUGGGGCCGUGGCUCCAGCCCAGUGUCCAGGUCCAGGGCCGGGUAGCCAUCAUCCCCACAGCGGCAAGGCCAGGCGC
rnacentral:lncRNA from 1 species